GGAUGUGAGGGCAAUCUGGCUGCAACAUCUGUCACCCCAUUGAUCACCUGGGUUGACUUGGAUGAUCUGGCUGGCUAGGUGGGUGUCCCCUUCCUCCCUCACCGCUGCAUGUGUAUCCCUCCCAAAGCUGCCUGCUGGGUGGAAGAGGAUGACCACCCCGGAUAGAGGAGGACUGUUUCCUUGGUCCAGGGUAUACAAGUAACUGCACUCCCCUGCUAGAACCCCCAAAAAAACUCCCAAGAAAGGCUAGAAGUAAGCUGGAUGGGCGAAACUAUCUUUCUGCUGUCUCAUGAGUCAGUUUUAUUGUAGAGAAGAUUAACUUUCUUC
ensembl:misc_RNA 7SK 7SK RNA